rnacentral:lncRNA from 1 species
GUGAAUUUAGAGGUCGAAAGACGACCUUCCUCUUCACCAUCUUUCUGACCUCCGAUUGGAGUUCCUCUGGCCGCUUCACCGCAGGCUCUGGCUUCCUUUUCUCCAGUCUGCGCAGGAAGUCUCUGUGAUGACCAGGUCUCACCGUCCAGAUCUGCAGGCAGCUCAGCCUUCAGAACCGUGACAGAGCCAAGUGAUUGUUGGGAGCAGAGGAAUGGGAGAAAGCCAGAAAUCCAUUGAAAGAUACUUUUAAUCCACUUAGGAAUACUUACGUAAAUACAUCUUGAAAACUUAAACUGGAAAUAAGCUUACACCAGAAUGAAACCAGUAGGCUGUGCAGGGGCUGGCUGUGGUCAGGACUCAGCAGGUGAAGGUGCCUGCUGCCCAGCCUGAUGAUCCGAGUCCACUUUCUGGAAUCUCCAUGGUUGACUGCCUCCAAGAGGUACAGUAUACACUUAUCAAGUAAUGGUACGGUUUACUGCUUAGCUAGCCAAUCCUGGAGCCCUGGAUAAUGUGUGCACUGGGAGGAGUCCUGACAGGUGACUUGCCCAAAGUCACAUGGCACAUGUUUUAGAUCUGUCCUUUGUUGAGGGCUAUGGUGCUCUGGCCACCCUGUAAUGUAAUGGCCACUCUGUUGCAU